UAAUCUGCCCUCUGAUGGGGAAUAACUCGCCGAAAGGCGAGCUAAUUCCGCAUAACAUUCCUUGGACUCCGGUCUGAGGAUUCAAAGGCGUAAGUCGUCGGAGGUGGAGCCCGCGCACGAUUAGCUAGUUGGUGAGGUAAUGGCUCACCAAGGCUAUGAUCGUUAGCUGGUCUGAGAGGAUGGCCAGCCACACUGGAACUGAGACACGGCCCAG
rnacentral:rRNA from 1 species